GCUUAGAUCAUUGAUAAUGUAUUGGGCGACACUUGUCAUAGACUCAGUUUCAGUGCGCAAAUUCGAGCGAUCGGAUAUUCCAAAGUAUACAUUUUAACAUUAAAAUAACGGAAGGGAAGCCUUAAUAAGAAAUAACCAUGAAAAACCCUCUGUUAAUAAGUUUGUGCUUGUAUUUCAUAUCAACAGUGGUUUUAGCAAACAGCGAAGAGAAUUAUGCAGAGAGAUCUUAAAAACGACAGCCUUCACUUACUUCAAACGUAACCAUGCCCACAAUUGAGCAACAUGCAAUGAUAUACAUUCCUCCACGUCCAUGUUACAGACGUGAUGCUUGCGGCAACUAUCGUAGAAUUCUUCAUCGUAAGGUUGCGAGGAUUGAAGACGUGGGAAUAAGAAGACGGAUCGAUUAUAUUAGGAUAUAUUAGACGAUUAUGUAAUACCGUCGUCGGGACAAUCAAUUCAAAUAGGCGACGAUUUCGACACUUCAAGUAGAUAAAUUCCUCUCUUAAAAAAAUGAUGGACUUUGUUGUGAAGCAUUUAAUACGUGAUUCUGAUUGGUUGCUGGUUGGUUGUCUAGGCAACGAGAUCAGAACCGCGCGCUUUAAAUUCAUAACCUCAAAACAGUAAUAACCCUGGUAGAAAUAUUUGAGGUGUUUAAAAUGAAAUUUGGAAACCUCGAUGGCAGAAAAAAUAUAUGAAAUGUAACUAGCAAGAAACCUUAGUAAAUUAAUCAUUACCAAGAGUGUAGUAUUAAAACAUGUGUAUUGAAAAGUGGCACCAUAACCCUAUUUAAAAGUAGUAAUAAUGUGUGUGAAUAUUAUUCAGUUUAUUGAAAUGUCAGUGAGAAGUGCAAUUAAAAGAAUGAAAAGUAUGAAGAUAUAAUACUGUGUCUCUAUAUGCCCAAAGUCACCUUCGAUGAGGUUUGAGAGGUGAAUUUAAAGAAAAGUUCAGUAUCCGAGUCAGUAAGUUUAAGUCUAUCAUCAUACAAUGCCCUUUGAAUUGUAAUAAUAGACGAACUCACUGACUCUUAUACUGAACUUUUCUUCAAAUUCACUACUCAAACCUUAAUGACGACGACAUUGGGAAUUAUUUAUUUUAAAAUAGCAUUGCGGGUAUGGUAAUGUAUCAAAUGCUUAUAAAAUAUUAGCAGAAGUUAGUGUGCCGCCCAACACUUAUAGUGAAUUUUCUACCAGAGUUAUUAAACAGAGAUAGAAUCAAGAGCGCGCGAAGCGCGCCUUCAUUCCUAGUAUAUGUAAAAAAUCAAUUAGAAUAAAUGUAUUUCGACACAAA